GGCGGACGGGUGAGUAACGCGUAGGAAUCUACCUGGUAGUGGGGGACAACUCGGGGAAACUCGAGCUAAUACCGCAUACGCCCUAAGGGGGGAAGCGGGGGAUCUUCGGACCUCGUGCUAUCAGAUGAGCCUGCGUUGGAUUAGCUAGUUGGUGGGGCAAUGGCCUACCAAGGCGACGAUCCAUAGCUGGUCUGAGAGGAUGAUCAGCCACACCGGGACUGAGACACGGCCCGGACUCCUACGGGAGGCAGCAGUGGGGAAUAUUGCGCAAUGGGCGAAAGCCUGACGCAGCCAUGCCGCGUGUGUGAAGAAGGCCUUCGGGUUGUAAAGCACUUUCAAUUGGGAGGAAAAGUUCACGGUUAAUACCCGUGAGCUGUGACGUUACCUUUAGAAGAAGCACCGGCUAACUCCGUGCCAGCAGCCGCGGUAAUACGGAGGGUGCGAGCGUUAAUCGGAAUUACUGGGCGUAAAGCGCGC
rnacentral:rRNA from 1 species